GGCCUCGGAUGACUAGCAUGCGAGUCAUUGUAGCAAUACAAGGCAGACGGCUCAGUAACGCGUAGUCAACCUACCCUAUGGACGGGAAUAAACUCGGGAAACUGAGUAUAAUGCCCGAUAGAACAUUAUGCCUGGAAUGGUUUAUGUUUCAAAUGAUUUAUCGCCGUAGGAUGGGACUGCGGCCUAUCAGUUUGUUGGUGAGGUAAUGGCCCACCAAGACUAUUACAGGUACGGGCUCUGAGAGGAGUGGCCCGGAGAUGGGUACUGAGACACGGACCCAGGCCCUAUGGGGCGCAGCAGGCGAGAAAACUUUGCAAUGUGCGAAAGCACGACAAGGUUAAUCCGAGUGGUUUCUGCUAAAGGAACCUUUUGCCAGUCCUAGAAACACUGGUGAAUAAGGGGUGGGCAAGUUCUGGUGUCAGCCGCCGCGGUAAAACCAGCACCUCAAGUGGUCAGGAUGAUUAUUGGGCCUAAAGCAUCCGUAGCCGGCUCUGUAAGUUUUCGGUUAAAUCUAUACGCUCAACGUAUAGGCUGCCGGGAAUACUGCAGAGCUAGGGAGUGGGAGAGGUAGACGGUACUCGGUAGGAAGGGGUAAAAUCCUUUGAUCUAUUGAUGACCACCUGUGGCGAAGGCGGUCUACCAGAACACGUCCGACGGUGAGGGAUGAAAGCUGGGGGAGCAAACCGGAUUAGAUACCCGGGUAGUCCCAGCUGUAAACUAUGCAAACUCAGUGAUGCAUUGGCUUGUGGCCAAUGCAGUGCUGCAGGGAAGCCGUUAAGUUUGCCGCCUGGGAAGUACGUACGCAAGUAUGAAACUUAAAGGAAUUGGCGGGGGAGCACCACAAGGGGUGAAGCCUGCGGUUCAAUUGGAGUCAACGCCGGG
rnacentral:rRNA from 1 species